rnacentral:rRNA from 1 species
AGAGGAAGUAAAAGUCGUAACAAGGUUUCCGUAGGUGAACCUGCGGAAGGAUCAUUAUUGAAAUUAUAGGUGAGGGUUGUAGCUGGCCUCUCGGGGCAUGUGCACGCCCGAGCCCUUAAUCCACACACACCUGUGAACCUAUUGUAAGGGCCCUUAAAAAAGGCCUUUACGUCUUAUCAUCAACCCAUCGUAUGUCUCAUAGAAUGUAAAUAUAUGUCCUCGCCUUAAAAAGCGUUGAUAAACUUAUACAACUUUCAACAACGGAUCUCUUGGCUCUCGCAUCGAUGAAGAACGCAGCGAAAUGCGAUAAGUAAUGUGAAUUGCAGAUUUUCAGUGAAUCAUCGAAUCUUUGAACGCACCUUGCGCUCCUUGGUAUUCCGAGGAGCAUGCCUGUUUGAGUGUCAUUAAAUUCUCAACUCUGAUCGAUUUGUUUCGACUUCGGAGCUUGGAUUUGGAGCGUGCUGGCGUCGGUCGGCUCCUCUUAAAUGCAUCAGCGGAAUCUAACGUUUCGGACGUCAGUGUGAUAAUCAUGUUGCGCUGUCUGUCUGAUCUGAAAGCCCGCUCACAAUGGUCUUCGGACAACUUCAUAUCAAAUUUGACCUCAAAUCAGGUAGGACUACCCGCUGAACUUAAGCAUA